UAAAUUUUAAAUUAAAUCCAUAGGUCUGGUUUAGCAACCGCCGUGCAAGAUGGAGGAAGCAAGCUGGGGCCAAUCAACUGAUGGCUUUCAACCAUCUCAUUCCCGGGGGGUUCCCUCCCACUGCCAUGCCGACCUUGCCAACGUACCAGCUGUCGGAGACCUCUUACCAGCCCACAUCUAUUCCACAAGCUGUGUCAGAUCCCAGCAGCACCGUUCACAGACCUCAACCGCUUCCUCCAAGCACUGUACACCAAAGCACGAUUCCUUCCAACCCAGACAGCAGCUCUGCCUACUGCCUCCCCAGCACCAGGCAUGGAUUUUCCAGCUAUACAGACAGCUUUGUGCCUCCGUCGGGGCCCUCCAACCCCAUGAACCCCACCAUUGGCAAUGGCCUCUCACCUCAGGUAAUGGGACUCCUGACCAACCACGGUGGGGUACCUCAUCAGCCCCAGACUGAU
rnacentral:lncRNA from 1 species